rnacentral:rRNA from 1 species
GCAAGUCGAACGCGAAAGUGGAGCAAUCCAUGAGUAGAGUGGCAAACGGGUGAGUAACGCGUGGGCGACCUACCUCAGAGGGGGGGAUAACAUUCCGAAAGGAGUGCUAAUACCGCAUGACAUCCUGCCUUUAGAUAGGUGGAGAUCAAAGCCGGGGAUCGCAAGACCUGGCGCUUGGAGAGGGGCCCGCGUCCGAUUAGCUAGUUGGUGAGGUAACGGCUCACCAAGGCUCCGAUCGGUAUCCGGCCUGAGAGGGCGGACGGACACACUGGAACUGAGACACGGUCCAGACUCCUACGGGAGGCAGCAGUGGGGAAUUGUUCACAAUGGGCGCAAGCCUGAUGACGCAACGCCGCGUGGAGGAUGAAGACCUUCGGGUCGUAAACUCCUUUCGACCGAGAUGAAUUCCCGCCGACCUAAUACGUCGGCGGGGUGACAGUAUCGAGGGAAGCAGCCCCGGCUAACUCCGUGCCAGCAGCCGCGGUAAUACGGGGGGGGCAAGCGUUGUUCGGAAUUACUGGGCGUAAAGGGUUCGUAGGUGGCUUGCUAAGUCAGACGUGAAAUCCCUCAGCUUAACUGGGGAACUGCGUCUGAGACUGGCAAGCUUGAGUGCAGGAGAGGAACGCGGAAUUCCAGGUGUAGCGGUGAAGUGCGUAGAUAUCUGGAGGAACACCGGUGGCGAAGGCGGCGUUCUGGACUGCAACUGACACUGAAGAACGAAAGCCAGGGGAGCAAACGGGAUUAGAUACCCCGGUAGUCCUGGCCCUAAACGAUGAAUGCUUGGUGUGGCGGGUAUCGAUCCCUGCCGUGCCGUAGUUAACGCGUUAAGCAUUCC